GACGAACGCUGGCGGCGUGCUUAACACAUGCAAGUCGAACGGUAAGGCCCUUCGGGGUACACGAGUGGCGAACGGGUGAGUAACACGUGGGUGAUCCGCCCUGCACCUCGGGAUCAGCCUGGGCAACUGGGUCUAAUACCGGAUAGGACUCCUGGCUUCAUGGUUGGGGGUGGGAAGCUUUUGCGGUGUGGGAUGGGCCCGCGGCCUAUCAGCUUGUUGGGGGGGUAAUGGCCUACCAAGGCGACGACGGGUAGCCGGCCUGAGAGGGUGACCGGUCACACUGGGACUGAGAUACGGCCCAGACUCCUACGGGAGGCAGCAGUGGGGAAUAUUGCACAAUGGGCGCAAGCCUGAUGCAGCGACGCCGCGUGAGGGAUGACGGCCUUCGGGUUGUAAACCUCUUUCAGCUAUGACGAAGCGCAAGUGACGGUAGUAGCAGAAGAAGGACCGGCCAACUACGUGCCAGCCGCCGCCGUAA
rnacentral:rRNA from 1 species